rnacentral:rRNA from 1 species
UACGUAGGGGGCAAGCGUUAUCCGGAAUCACUGGGUGUAAAGGGAGCGUAGACGGCUGUGCAAGCCUGAAGUGAAAGGCAGGGGCAUAACCCCUGGACUGCACUGGGAACUGUCAGGCUGGAGUGCCGGAGGGGUAAGCGGAAUUCCUGGUGUAGCGGUGAAAUGCGUAGAUAUCAGGAGGAACACCGGCGGCGAAGGCGGCUUACUGGACGGCAACUGACGUUGAGGCCCGAAAGCGUGGGGAGCGAACAGG